rnacentral:rRNA from 1 species
AACGAACGCUGGCGGCGCGUUUUAAGCAUGCAAGUCGAACGGCAAGCACUGUCGCAAGAUGGUGCUGAGAGUGGCGAACGGGUGAGUAACACGUAGGUGAUCUACCCUUGGAUGGGGGAUAGUCCGUGGAAACACGGGGUAAUACCGCAUGAGGCCUUGUGGAUAGAGCCAUGAGGUGAAAGGUGCAAUGCACCGUCUGGGGAUGAGCCUGCGCUCCAGUAGGUAGUUGGCGGGGUAAGAGCCCACCAAGCCGACGAUGGAUAGCCGGCCUGAGAGGGUGUACGGCCACACUGGAACUGAGACACGGUCCAGACUCCUACGGGAGGCAGCAGCUAAGAAUCUUCCGCAAUGGGGGAAACCCUGACGGAGCGACGCCGCGUGGACGAUGGAGGCCGUAAGGUUGUAAAGUCCUUUUGCAGGUGAAGAAUAACCGGUGGAGUGGAAAGCCACUGGGAUGACGUUAGCCUGCGAAUAAGCCCCGGCCAAUUACGUGCCAGCCGCCGCGGUAAAAC